AUGAAGAACGCAGCGAAAUGCGAUACGUAAUGUGAAUUGCAGAAUUCAGUGAAUCAUCGAAUCUUUGAACGCAUAUUGCGCUCUCUGGUAUUCCGGAGAGCAUGCUUGUUUGAGUAUCAGUAAACACCUCAACUUCCAUAUCUUUUUUGAAAUGGGAGUUGGACUUGAGUGAUCCCAACGCUUUUCCUCACCGAAAAGUGGCGGGUUACUUGAAAUGCAGGUGCAGCUGGACUUUUCUCUGAGCUAUAAGCAUAUCUAUGUAGGCUGCCUAAAAAACAGAUUAUUACCUUUGCUGCAGCUAACAUAAAGGAGAUUAGUUCUUGUGCUGACUGAUGCAGGAUUCACAAAGACGGCUUCGGCCGACUUUGUAAACUCGAUCUCAAAUCAAGUAAGACUACCCGCUGAACUUAAGCAUAUCAAUAAGCGGAGGA
rnacentral:misc_RNA from 1 species